AUUCGAAGGUAAUCGACGGCGUCUCCCCGAAGGACUUGGAAUCAGCGCUCGCCGGGAAAACUAUAGUCGCCGCGCAUCGGAAGGGGAAGAAUAUGUGGCUCGAGCUUGAUUCACCUCCUUUUCCCACGUUUCAAUUCGCUGAUGAUUCGAAGGUAAUCGACGGCGUCUCCCCGAAGGACUUCGAAUCACCGCUCGCCGGAAAACUAUAGUCGCUGCGCAUCGGAAGGGGAAGAAUAUGUGGCUCGAGCUCGAUUCACCUCCUUUUCCCACGUUUCACUUCGCUAGAUGAUGGUUUGGAAUUCUCUUUCACAGAAAAGAGGCAGUUUGCUAAAGUCCGUCUAAUAGACAAUGUAAAGUGGUAACUUUACGUUCAUCGUAUUGUUUCUGUUCAUCAUAUUCAUCCUUCCAAGAUAUUUCCAUAACAAUGCUUCUCACAGCCGAUUUCUGCUCCCCCUAUCUCUGAGCUUGGUCCUGACGCAUUAAAGGAGCCCAUGACGGAAGAUGAGUUCUACAGUGCUUCAAUAUAAAAUAUAUAACAAUAAAUAGAGAAUUGUGUCAUCUAUUAUAUAUAUUGAUAGGGAUAUUGGAUUUGUAUUUCAUUCAUCCUCGCUAUCUAUCCUUAAGCUUGUAGCAGCUAGCACACUUUAUAAUUAUUUUGUGUUGUUGGAAUAUUGUUAGGUUUGAAGAAAUUAUAUACCUCUGAAAUUACGAAGGAGGUUCACUUCUACUGCUGAAAUUGAUCUCAGGCUCAUCCAAGUCCACUUUUUACAAAGCGGUUGGCGGCUUUUAAAAUGUGCCUUGAUCAUGGAUCUGAACAUAAAAAGCCACCAGAAUAGUUGCCAAUUUUACUUCAGGAGGUAUAUGUGAAAGCAUUGGAAAAGGACUUCUCUGAUGCACCAUUGCAGUUUGAUACAAAGGUGUUAUUGGAAAAAACUCCAGCAUAUCGGUGGAUUCAAAUUUUCAGGGCAGCCUACCAUGGCGAGAGAUUGAAUUGAUUAUUGAAGAUGGCUGCGAGUAGGCAGAGGAGGAGGAGGAGAAGUGGUGGCGCAGCCAUGGCCGGAGAGACUUGGGAAGGGACAGAAAGUGGGUGUAUCCGUUGAGAGAGG